GCAUGUGCUGUGAGCUCGAUGAGUAGGGCGGGACACGUGGUAUCCUGUCUGAAUAUGGGGGGACCAUCCUCCAAGGCUAAAUACUCCUGACUGACCGAUAGUGAACCAGUACCGUGAGGGAAAGGCGAAAAGAACCCCGGCGAGGGGAGUGAAAAAGAACCUGAAACCGUGUACGUACAAGCAGUGGGAGCCCCACCACCAAAGCAUUCUCUGGUGUUGAAGGCCCUGCAAAGCAGCAUCGCGGUGGCGGAGCGUCGUUUGCGACGCCCAACACACAAAACAAGCGGUGAGUGCUUUGGGGUGGGGUGACUGCGUACCUUUUGUAUAAUGGGUCAGCGACUUAUAUUCUGUAGCAAGGUUAACCGAAUAGGGGAGCCGGAGGGAAACCGAGUCUUAAUUGGGCGUUAAGUUGCAGGGUAUAGACCCGAAACCCGGUGAUCUAGCCAUGGGCAGGUUGAAGGUUGGGUAACACUAACUGGAGGACCGAACCGACUAAUGUUGAAAAAUUAGCGGAUGACCUGUGGCUGGGGGUGAAAGGCCAAUCAAACCGGGAGAUAGCUGGUUCUCCCCGAAAGCUAUUUAGGUAGCGCCUCGUGAAUUCAUCUCCGGGGGUAGAGCACUGUUUCGGCUAGGGGGCCAUCCCGGCUUACCAACCCGAUGCAAACUGCGAAUACCGGAGAAUGUUAUCACGGGAGACACACGGCGGGUGCUAACGUCCGUCGUGAAGAGGGAAACAACCCAGACCGCCAGCUAAGGUCCCAAAGUCAUGGUUAAGUGGGAAACGAUGUGGGAAGGCCCAGACAGCCAGGAUGUUGGCUUAGAAGCAGCCAUCAUUUAAAGAAAGCGUAAUAGCUCACUGGUCGAGUCGGCCUGCGCGGAAGAUGUAACGGGGCUAAACCAU
rnacentral:rRNA from 1 species